rnacentral:rRNA from 1 species
AUUGAACGCUGGCGGCAGGCCUAACACAUGCAAGUCGAGCGGUUGAACGGAUCUUUCUCCUGUAUUCAGCGGCGGACGGGUGAGUAAUGCCUAGGAAUCUGCCUGGUAGUGGGGGAUUACUUCCUGACACGGGCGCUAAUACCGCAUACGUCCUGAUUGUGAAUGUGUGGUAUCUUCGGACCUCACGCUAUCUGAUUAGCCUAGGUCGGAUUAUCUCGUUGGUGGGGUAACGUCCUACCAAGGCGACGAUCCGUAACUGGUCUGAGAGGAUGAUCUGUCACACUGGAACUGAGACACGGUCCAGACUCCUACGGGAGGCAGCAGUAGGGAAUAUUGGACAAUGGGCGAAAGAAUGAUCCAGCCAUGCCGCGUGUGUGAAGAAGGUCUUCGGAUUGUAAAGCACUUUAAGUGGGGAGGAAGGGCAGUAAGUUAAUACCUGGCUGUUUUGACGGUACCAACAGAAGAAGCACCGGCUAACUACGUG